GCCCCGGAGCAAGGUGUCUGUCUUCUGCAGGACUGACUCCUAGUGGACCCCUGGACCUGGACCUAGUGGACUAGACCCAGCAAGGAAAAGGACAUCAGUUGAAGCAGGAGGCCACCAGAACAGAGAAUGCAGCCACAAGAAGAGAGUCUGUCAGUCCUCAAGAUGAGGGGAGUGCCUACUGUAGGGGCCCCCAGGAAGGUCAGAGCACAGAGAGAGAGGGGAAGCCAGGGCUGACCAUUGUGUAUCGGGAAGGUCGGAAGCCACAAUUCAUACAGAGAAGGCAGAAGAAAGGAGACUCUGGGGUCCCUGGAGGCAGCACCUCCCUUCCAGGGUGUUAGGAUUCUAGCUCAGGCUCCAACCCAGGUUUCAUCCCAUCUGCAGGUGAACAAAUACUAUCUAAAUGCCAUAAAUUAUAGUUUUUUUUAAAGUCUCUGUGUAGAGAAAACCGAAAUGAACAAAUGAAGACAGAGGUGAAAUUAAAAGAUAAUUGGAAGUCUA